rnacentral:rRNA from 1 species
CGGGACACGUGGUAUCCUGUCUGAAUAUGGGGGGACCAUCCUCCAAGGCUAAAUACUCCUGACUGACCGAUAGUGAACCAGUACCGUGAGGGAAAGGCGAAAAGAACCCCGGCGAGGGGAGUGAAAAAGAACCUGAAACCGUGUACGUACAAGCAGUGGGAGCCUCUUUAUGGGGUGACUGCGUACCUUUUGUAUAAUGGGUCAGCGACUUAUAUUCUGUAGCAAGGUUAACCGAAUAGGGGAGCCGAAGGGAAACCGAGUCUUAACUGGGCGUUAAGUUGCAGGGUAUAGACCCGAAACCCGGUGAUCUAGCCAUGGGCAGGUUGAAGGUUGGGUAACACUAACUGGAGGACCGAACCGACUAAUGUUGAAAAAUUAGCGGAUGACUUGUGGCUGGGGGUGAAAGGCCAAUCAAACCGGGAGAUAGCUGGUUCUCCCCGAAAGCUAUUUAGGUAGCGCCUCGUGAAUUCAUCUCCGGGGGUAGAGCACUGUUUCGGCAAGGGGGUCAUCCCGACUUACCAACCCGAUGCA